AGCCGCGGCCAGACGUUGUCUUUGUGCAUCUCACGCGUCCUCGGCCCCCCUGAGCACCGUCUUAACUGGAGACGAGAGCGGGACGGCGCUGCCGCCCUCCUCCCUGUUGGAUUGUGUUCCUGCACGUCUGUUGGGCCUGCAUUUGCGUACGUGCCACCGUGGACAGCCAUUUACACACGUGCGGUUCGCUGACACGUCCUCGCCGCGUGGACACGUCCUUCUUCCUGACAAGCGCGGGAGAAGAAUUAAGUCCCGAGCCUUGAGACUAAAUGCUUAAGGCCGGCUCUAGAAGAUUCGUGUUGGAACGACCGUGUAUUCUGUCAUCAUGACCACUCGUGACCGUACCCACCUCAUCACUGAUUUGAUGCGAAUCGUCAAAACGUGAGAGACGGUGCAGGUGAAAAGAAAGCUGUUUCACUCAACAACACGAUUCUCAGGAGACAUUCAGCGUGGACAAGAUCCACCUGCUCCACGUGCCGGGCCACAGUAUGAAUUCAGACGACGGAACCCAACGGUUUCAGUACCACCGACCAGCCUCACCCCCGCAGUACUUACAUUAACUGCGGUCAAGUGAGAUGUGAAAUGAAAUAUGAAAGCUUAGCGAGGGGACAUGAAACGAAUUCUUACAAGAUCUCUACUAUUAUUAAAUACACACAUGUACAGCACAUAAUAUCAUAUGCACGUAUAACCACUGUCCUCAUAAAAUCGUUUUCAGAGGAGCAGAUAAACGGAUUUCUGAAGACUGGAAGAAUUUGUAGCUUCUUAUGGAGAACUGGGUGAGUUACAGAAAGGAAGAUAAUCUGAGGGAGAGGAGAUGGUAGCUGUUUCACCUGGAAAAUUCUAGAAGGGAAGAAAAUAAGGAUGCUUCUGACUUCUCAUAUGUCUGGCAUAUUGGAUUUUAAAAGGUUAAUUUUAGUUUUAAAACAAAUACCAAAAAACAUGAUUACAGAAGUUUUACAAAACUACUUCUUAGGAGGAACUGUCCCCUUUCUGUUUCACACACAAAUGCGUCUUGGAAUUAUUGGGAAGAGACUUAACUUUCUCCACCCUUGCCUCUGUCCUCCCCAUACGAAGAAAAAUCCGAGGAAGAGUAAUAGUUUUUCCUUCUUUGAUCCACAUUUUUGGGUGGCACUAAUGUUCAGCUGUGCUCCUGUGGUCUCUUUAGCUCUUUGCACUGGUGGUUUUAUGGAGUACCUGUGCCUUCACAGAGCUGCUGGAUUACUCUAUCUACUGGGUUCCAGGUAUAGACAUGGGAAGAAGGAGUAGAGACAGCCCAGUUUAGUCUCAGAUCCAAACUGUGUUCUUUAGUCUACAUUUGCCAGCCACAAGUUGGUAUUUUCUUUCUGUCAUUAGUGUAUACCCCUGGUUUCCAAAUUGUUAAAAGACUGUGUUAAAAAAAAAAAAAAGGUAAAUUUAUGACUCUUAUACAAAUGAGUAUCUGUUGAAUAAUGUUAUAACCAGUAAGAUGUUACAACUGGG